GCUGCCUUUAAGCAUAUUAAUAAGCGGAGGAAAAGAAACUAACAAGGAUUCCCCUAGUAACGGCGAGUGAAGCGGGAAGAGCUCAAUUUUGAAAUCUGCGGUGCUUGCACCGUCAGAAUUGUAGUUUAGAGAAGUGUUUUCCCCGAGAUGUCUGCCGGCCUAAGUUGCUUGGAACAGCACGUCAUAGAGGGUGAGAACCCCGUCUGUGGCUCGGCGGGCGCUCGGCAUGAUGCACUUUCGACGAGUCGGGUUGUUUGGGAAUGCAGCCCUAACUGGGUGGUAAACUCCAUCUAAAGCUAAAUAUUGCCACGAGACCGAUAGCGAACAAGUACCGUGAGGGAAAGAUGAAAAGCACUUUGAAAAGAGAGUUAAAAGCACGUGAAGCCGUUGAAAGGGAAACGCGCUCGGCUAGCAAUGUACCGCGCUGGUUCAGCCGGUUUGGAGGUGGAGGUUGCGUCUGUCGGAUCCGAAUGGACCGCAGGCGUUGCUGUCCGCUUUCGGACCGCGGUGCACUCUAGCGUGGUACGCGUCAGCGUCGGUUGGCAGCCGGCGACAAGGCCAGCAGGAAGGUAGCUCGGAGCUUGCUGCGAGUAUUAUAGCCUGUUGUGCUGGGUCUGCUGCGGACCGAGGAGAGAGAUGAUCGCUGCAGCGCAUGCCGCAAGGCUAGCUGCCCGUUGUUCGGUGUGCUGCACGA
rnacentral:rRNA from 1 species